rnacentral:misc_RNA from 1 species
GAUGAAGAACGCAGCGAAAUGCGAUAAGUAAUGUGAAUUGCAGAAUUCAGUGAAUCAUCGAAUCUUUGAACGCACAUUGCGCCCGCCAGUAUUCUGGCGGGCAUGCCUGUCCGAGCGUCAUUUCAACCCUCGCGCCCAUCUGGGCUGCGGUGUUGGGGACCGGCCUGCCCCCCGGGGCGCGCCGCCCCCCAAAUUCAGUGGCGGUCUCGCUGCAGCCUCCCUUGCGUAGUAGCACACCUCGCACCGGAGCGCAGCGCGGCCACGCCGUAAAACCCCCGACCCCCAUGAGUUUGACCUCGGAUCUGGUAGGAAUACCCGCUGAACUUAAGCAUAUCAAUAAGCGGAGGA